rnacentral:rRNA from 1 species
GAUGAACGCUGGCGGCGUGCCUAAUACAUGCAAGUCGAGCGAACAGACGAGGAGCUUGCUCCCCUGACGUUAGCGGCGGACGGGUGAGUAACACGUGGAUAACCUACCUGUAAGACUGGGAUAACUUCGGGAAACCGGAGCUAAUACCGGAUAAUAUAUUGAACCGCAUGGUUCAAUAGUGAAAGACGGUUUUGCUGUCACUUAUAGAUGGAUCCGCGCCGCAUUAGCUAGUUGGUAAGGUAACGGCUUACCAAGGCAACGAUGCGUAGCCGACCUGAGAGGGUGAUCGGCCACACUGGAACUGAGACACGGUCCAGACUCCUACGGGAGGCAGCAGUAGGGAAUCUUCCGCAAUGGGCGAAAGCCUGACGGAGCAACGCCGCGUGAGUGAUGAAGGUCUUCGGAUCGUAAAACUCUGUUAUUAGGGAAGAACAAAUGUGUAAGUAACUAUGCACGUCUUGACGGUACCUAAUCAGAAAGCCACGGCUAACUACGUG